AGUCGAGCUACAAGAAAAAUUCCUGCCGCUACCAUAGUAGCAGCAUGUAUAAGAGCCGAAAUAGGAGUAGGCCCCUUCAUGGCAUUAGGUAACAAUACAAGAAGGGGGAAUUGAGCAGAUUUAGCAACUGCACCGGCAAAUAAUAGAACAGCGCAUAACGUAACAAAUAAAAAAUUCAGCUCAUUAUUAUAAAUCAAGUUAUUGAAUAUUUUGAAUAAAUCUCUAAAUUCGAAACUCCUCGUUAUCCAAUAAAAACCUAAAAUUCCUAAUAAUAAACCAAAUCCCCUACACGAUUCGUUACAAACGCUUUUUGACAAGCAUUUGCCGCAACAGGUCGUGUAAACCAAAAUCCUAUUAAUAGAUAGGAACACAGCCCAACCAAUUCCCAAAAAAUAUAAAUUUGUAUCAAAUUCGAACUAGUAACUAAUCCCAACUUGGAAGUACUGAAAAAACUCAUAUAAGCAAAAAAUCUCAAAUAGCCUUGAUCAUGAGCCAUAUAAUUAUCACUUUAAAUAAGAACCAUAAUUCCAACAGUAGUUAUUAAUAUUGACAUAAUAGAAGUAAGUGGGUCGAUCAAGUAUCCGAAGUCUAAAGAAAAAAUCAUUAUUAAUGAUCCAAGACCAUACAUAUUGAUAAACAGAACUGCUAUUUAUUUGCUGAAUAGACAGGUAGAUUGAAAAAAUCAUGACUAUGCUUAACAAUAAAACACUCUGAAAAGCCCACAUACGGCGAAACCUUUUUGUUGCCGUUGGAAAAAGAAUAAGUCCCGCUCCUAUUAACAUAGGCACUGGAAGUGGAAUGAAAGGUAUGAUCCACGCAUAUUCAUAUGUCUGUUCCAUAAAAAAGUUUUGAAUUCUUAAUUAAUUAUUUCCAAUUCACCGAAUCUUACCUCUUUUGAAAGGAGUCAAUAAAAAGUAAAAAUAUGGACUAACUUAAACUAAUUUAAAACUUAAAUAGAAUUUUUUAUUCUUACUUAUUCUGAGUCUUUGCUAAAUAUUUGAACUAUUAAAAUCACGAAGUUACGAUUGGUCAAAUGAUAUAAAAGGGAUUAAUUAUUAGUCUUUUGAAAUAAGCCUAUUUUUUAAAAUCAAAGUUUGCCAAGUGAAUCGAACGGGGAUUGAAGUUUUUCAUUUCCUGAAGUAAAACGCGGUUCUUAUCUUUAAACCUUUCGAGGUAUUUUAUUGCAUGUAAAUAAAAUGUGGAACCAUAAAUAUAAAUCAACAAUUUUUGGGAUUCGUUAUUUUAUUUUUAUAUUAAGUUCAACAAAUUUUCUUUCUUCAUUUCUACAGAACAACCGAUUAUCAAAUUCUAUAGGUAUAGAUUUGAUGAAUCAAAAAGAAUGUGAAAUAAAGAUACCAGUCAAUGGAGAACCUUUUCUUUUUUAUGAUUAUGAAUGUUUUAUUGAAUAGAAAAACUUGAAAAAAAAAUAUUGGCCUUCUUUUUUAUUUCCAGUAUUCUGCAACUUUCACAUAGUUUUUGCCUAUCUCGAUAAUGUUUAUUUGGGGAGGACACUAUUAGCUCAAAAAUAAAUAGUAGUAAAAAGAAUCUGUUUUGAACAAUAGAUGUCUUUCACAUCCAGCUAUAACAAUAAGUAAUUUUUUAAUUUCUAAAUGGCAGUUCCAAAAAAAUGCACUUCGACCUCAAAAAAGCGUAUUCGUAAAAAUAUUUGGAAAAGGAAGGGGUAUUGGGUAGCAUUAAAGGCUUUUUCAUUAGCAAAAUCUCUUUCUACCGGUAAUUCAAAAAGGUUUUUUGUACGCCAAACAAAAAUAAAUAAGUAAUAAAACGUUAGAAUAAUUUGAAUCAAUUUGAAAAAAAUUAUUCAAUUAUUCUUCAAUUAUUAUCUAAUUGAACAAUUUCCCUUUCCUCUUUGAUAUUGAUUAGCUCACCAAUCCAUAUAUAACAUAACUCUAUUCGCUUUUCUGAUUGAUAUAGAAAAUAAUAGAAUUAGGAAAUCCUCUAUUUACUAUUCACUGAAUAAUAACCUUUUUGUUGACAAAAGAGUAAAGACCAUUUCUAUUCCAAGGUGGGGAGUUUUAUUUUCCCCAUCGACCUAUUUUCACAAUAAAAUGCAAAUAAAAUUCUAUAUUUGCAUGUCUAUAGAAGAACGUAUAUAAAAAUCUUUAGUGAAAGUUAAGAACUCAUUGAAAGUAAUUGAUUCUAUUUUGAAACCUUUUUGUUUUCUCGAACUUUCUCACUUUUAAUUUUCUCUGAAUUAUUAUAUAGACCGCCAUGUAUAUCUUUCCCUUAACCCAAUAGAGAAAAUUGCUUAAUGAAAUUUUGUAUGACUAAUUGUGAAUUUUUAGCGAUGCAAAAUUGGUUCUUUUCUUUCUAUUUUGUCGUCAAAAUCCCUUUUUUGUUUUAUUUUAUAUCUAUGAAAAAAAAAGAAAUUGCUGCUUAAACAAUGAAAACAAAAACUUUUUGAACUCUAUUCCUUAAUUGAGUGUAGAACGGUUUAGUUACAAGAGUUGAAUUCGAGGAAAGCAGAAAAUAUAGGAAAGACUCAGGUUAAAUAAAAAAAACUAAGACUCUAAACUCAAAUAACAAAUAAUGAACCUUCAACCUCAAAUUCCUAUUUGAACAACUUUUUAUUGGUAUUGAUCUAUUUGAAUCAUUACUAAACUAAAAUAGCUUACUCAAUCUCGACGAUUGCUUAUUCGUAGGCUAUUAUGAGUUCAAGACAAGCCGCUAUGGUGAAAUUGGUAGACCCACUGCUCUUAGGAAGCAGUGCUAAUGCAUCUCGGUUCGAGUCCGAGUGGCGGCAUACCAUCUUCUAAAAAGGAUAAAUAGAUCUUAUAAUGAAUUCAAUUCCCGAUUUCCAUUUUAGAAUUAUGUAAUUAAGGGACUCUUCUUUUUUAAGAUUUUUAUGAUAUUUUCAACCUUAGAUCAUAUAUUAACUCACAUUUCCUUUUCUAUCGUUUCAAUUUUAAUUACAAUUCAUUUGAUAACCUUUUUUGUCUAUGAAAUUGUAGAACUAUACGAUUCGUCAGAAAAGGGCAUAAUCGUUACUUUUUUCUGUAUAACAAGAUUAUUAGUUACUCGUUGGGUUUCUUCAGGACAUUUCCCACUAACCGAUUUAUAUGAAUCAUUAAUUUUCCUUUCAUGGAUUUUCUCCCUUAUUCAUAUAAUUCCAUAUUUCAAAAAAAUGUUUUAAUUUUAAGUAAAAUAACUGGACCAAGUGCUAUUUUGACCCAAGGCUUUGCAACUUCAUGUAUUUUAACUGAAAUACACCAAUCUGGAAUCUUAGUACCUGCUCUUCACUCUGAGUGGUUAAUAAUGCACGUAAGUAUGAUGAUAUUGGGGCAUUGCAGCCCUUUUAUGUGGAUCGUUAUUAUCAGUAGCACUUCUACUGAUUACAUUUCGAAAAAACAGAAAGAUUUUUUCUAAGAGCAAUGUUUUUUUAAACGAGUCAUUUUUAUUGAGUGAAAAUGUUGUCGAAAAUACUUCAUUUUUUGUGCUAAAAAUUAUUACAGGUCCCAAUUGAUUCAACAAUUGGAUUAUUGGAGUUAUCGGGUUAUUAGUUUAGGAUUUACUUUUUAACAAUAGGAAUCCUUUCAGGAGUCGUAUGGGCUAAUGAAGUGUGGGGUUCCUAUUGGAAUUGGGAUCCAAAAGAAACUUGGGCAUUUAUUACUUGGAUCGUAUUUGCCAUUUAUUUACAUACUCGAACAAAUAGAAAUUUGCGGGGUCCAAAUUUUGCAAUUGUAGCGUCGAUAGGUUUUCUUAUAAUUUGGAUAUGCUAUUUUGGGGUCAAUCUAUUAGGAAUAGGGUUACAUAGUUAUGGUUCUUUUCCAUCAACAUUUAAUUGAAUUCAAGACAAGUUAUUACAAAUACAAGAGCGGGCGACGCAUUGUAUGAACCAGCAUGUGGACCGUGUGAAUCAAAUAUUGUAUUGAUGAUUCACAUGGUUUUCUACCAUAUGUAGUUCAAUUUCAUUGUUUUUACUUAAUUCUUAAGUUAAAAGAGAAGAAAAAAAGAAGAUUGUCUUUCAUUGUCGAAGAAUGUUUUUAAAAACAAACAUAAGUUUUUUUUUAUUUCAGUCAUCCAAUUAUCUAUACAAAAAAUUAGAUAGAAUAACUUCGACCUUGUCAACUGCUAAUGGAAGAACGAAAUCGGGGUAUAUACCUAUACCUAUUACGGGUAAAAAGAUGGAGAUCGAAAGAAAUAACUCUCGCGGUCCAGAAUAAAAAAAGAAUCCUUCGGGGCGUUAAAUAACUUGUAUCCAUAGAACAUCUGGCGUGGCAUAGAUAAUGAAUAAAUAGGAUUUAAUAUAAUUCCAAUUGCCAUUACAAAAGUAAUUAGUAGUUUUGGAAUUAAAAGAUAUUUUUGGCUGGUAAUUAUUCCAAAAAAUACUAUCAAUUCGGCAACAAAACCACUCAUACCUGGUAAUGCAAGGGAAGCCAUCGAAAAGCUACUGAACAUCGCGAACAUUUUUGGCAUUGGAAUAGAUAUUCCGCCUAUUUCGUCAAGAUAAACAAGGUGGAUUCUAUCAUAAGUCGUUCCCGCCAAGAAAAAAAGUGCAGCACUAAUAAAUCGAUGAGAGAUUAUUUGUAAAAGGGCUCUAUUUAGUCCCGUAUCGGUUAGAGAACUAAUUCCUAUAAUUAUAAAACCCAUAUGAGAGACAGAGGAAUAGGCUAUUCUUUUUUUUUAAAUUCCGUCGGCCAAGAGAUGUUGAAGCUGCAUAGAUUAUUUGUAUUGUACCUAUUAUCAUCAACCAAGGAGAAAAUAUAAAAUGGGCAUGAGGUAAUAAUUCCAUAUUGAUUCGAAUUAAUCCAUACGCUCCCAUUUUUAAUAAGAUUCCGGCUAGAAGCAUACAAGUAAUGUAAUGUGCUUCUCCAUGGGUAUUUGGUAACCAUGUGUGUAGGGGGAUAAUGGGCGAUUUGACAGCAAAAGCAAUAAAAAAAUCCAAUAUAGAAGAUUAUUUCUAAAACCACAAGAUAUGAGUGAUUAACUGAUGUUUCAAAAUUUAAUGUUGGUUCAUUAGAACCAUAUAAAGCAACACCCAAAACUCCCAUUAAGAGAAAAACGGAACCCCCCGCCGUGUACAAAAUAAAUUUUGUAGCUGAGUACAGACGUUUCUUUCCUCCCCACAUGGCUAGAAGUAGAUAAACAGGAAUUAAUUCUAACUCCCACAUGAUGAAAAAAAGUAAAAGGUCCCGAGACGAAAAUAAUCCAAUUUGACCACUGUACAUUGCUAACAUGAGAAAAUGGAAUAAUCUAGAAUCUCGAGUAACUGGCCAAGCCGCUAAAGUCGCUAAAGUAGUGAUAAAUCCUGUUAAUAAAAUGGGUCCUAUAGAAAGUCCAUCUAUUCCUAAUCUCCAAUGGAAAUCAAAAAAAUCGAUCCAUUUAUAAUCCUCUACUAGUUGGAUUAAUGGAUCAUCCGAUUGGAAAUGAUAACAAAAUGCAUAAGUUGUUAGAAGGAGUUCUAAAAUACAUAUACAUAUUGUAUACCACCUAAUUACCCUAUUUCCUUUAUGGGGAAGAAAGAAAAUUAAAGAACCCGCAAAUAUCGGAAAAAACGACAAUUAUUGUUAACCAAGGAAAAUAAUUCGUAGUAAAGACAAGAUACACUUGGACCAAAAAAACCCGUGCUCAAAAUAUUUUUAUUUUCGAGCACAGGUUUGUCGGUAAAAAAAUUAAAUGGAUUCAAGUAGAGUUUUCUCGAACGUAUCAAUAAGCUAGACCCAUACUGCGAGUUGUUUCAUGCCAUAAAUAAACUCGGACACUCAAGAAAUCUGUUGGACAGGCGGAUUCACAUCUCUUACAACCAACACAGUCCUCUGUUCGUGGAGCAGAAGCAAUUUGUUUAGCCUUACAACCGUCCCAAGGUAUCAUUUCUAAUACAUCAGUGGGGCAGGCUCGGACACAUUGAGUACAUCCUAUACACGUAUCAUAAAUCUUUACUGAAUGUGACAUUGGGCCUAUACGUUUUUGAAUGUUCUAAAUUUUCGAUCUAGUAAACUUAGAAACGAAUCGUAUAUUUAGAUACCAGAUGAAUCAAUGAGUUAUCAUAAUUUUCUAAUCAACCCCUUUCUGGAUUGGUUUAUGAGAUAUGAGAGAGGCCAAAAUACUUUGAUUUCUUAUGUUUUGCAAACAAGAUCAUACUUUACGUAGUAAACAUGCUAAUUAAAAUAGAUUUCUCAAUAUUAGAAUCUAGAUGAUUAAUAUUAAUUAUUCAACAAAUUUGAUUGGUUGAUACGAGUUGAUUUUCUGUUACGGUAAAUUGAUGAAACAAUAGCCAGGCCAAUGGCUGCUUCAGCGGCUGCAAUAGCUAUAACAAAAAUUGAGAAAAUGUCUCCCUUUAAUUGACGAUUAUCAAAAAAAUCAGAAAAUGUUACAAAAUUGAUAUUAACUGCAUUCAAUAUAAGUUCAAGACACAUAAGGGCUCUAACCAUAUUUCGACUUGUGAUCAAUCCAUAGAUACCGAUGGAAAAUAAAUAGGCACUCAAAACAAGUACAUGUUCGAGAAUCAUUAAACAACUCCUUAUCAAUCCCGACUCCUUUCAAUAUGAACAACAAUUCAACUAACUUAAUUGACUAGUAUAUAACAAGUAUGGAACAAAGAAAUAUAUUGUUACUAGAUUGACCUAAAGUCUUUCUAUUUAUCCAGCUAGAAUUCAAAUAGAAUUGAAGGAAAAUUAAUGUGAUAAGACAGAACAAAAUUUUAUUUGAAUUCCAAGUUUUAAUAGAAAUUUUUUAUUGACGAGCUACAGCAAUUGCACCUAUUAAAGCAACUAAAAGGAUUAUGGAAAUAAGUUCAAAUGGGAGAAAAAAAUCUGUUGAUAAAUGAAUUCCAAUUUGUUGACUAUUACUUAGAAAAUCUUGCUCUAUAAUCUGGUUUGAUCUUGUAGUCCAAAUAAUCCCGUACCAUGACGUAUCUGAAAUAGUAGUAAUUAGUGAAAUAAAAAGACUUAUACAAACCAUCGAAGUAAUUCCAUCUCCUACGGUCCAAAGAUGAAAAUCCUUGUAAUAUUCUGAGCCAUUCAUGAACAUCACAGCAAAAAUGAUUAAAACAUUUAUAGCUCCUACGUAAAUAAGUAGCUGCGCAGCAGCUACAAAAUAGGCGUUAGAUAGAAUAUAGAAUAACGAUGUACAAACAAGAACCAAUCCCAAGGAAAAGGCCGAAUAAAUUGGAUUGGGAAGUAAUACCACUCCUAGACCCCCUAAUAUAAGACCCGAUCCUAGAAAGACUAAAAGAAAAUCAUGUAUUGGUUCAGAUAAAUCCAUUUUUUAUAAAAAAUCAAAAACGAAGAAUUUCAUGACUUUAUUGACCUGACCAGGAAAAAAGCAGUUUUUCUAUUUUUUAUGAUACUUUGAAAUUGUUAAUUGAAUGAAAGUCUAAUGGGUAUGAAUUGACGUAGAUGCUUUUAUUUUAUUGGACCACUAUCCAUUCUUUAUUCGUCGAAAGAGGAGUUUAAACCUAUCUAUUUUUGAUAUCAUUUAUCUACUUUGAAACCAUUACUAUU
rnacentral:lncRNA from 1 species